rnacentral:rRNA from 1 species
CAGUAGCCGCGGGAAUACGAAGGGGGCUAGCGUUGCUCGGAAUGACUGGGCGUAAAGGGCGCGUAGGCGGUUGGUACAGUCAGAUGUGAAAUUCCUGGGCUUAACCUGGGGGCUGCAUUUGAUACGUGCUGGCUUGAGUGGGGAAGAGGGUCGUGGAAUUCCCAGUGUAGAGGUGAAAUUCGUAGAUAUUGGGAAGAACACCGGUGGCGAAGGCGGCGACCUGGUCCUUUACUGACGCUGAGGCGCGAAAGCGUGGGGAACAAACAGGAUUAGAUACCCGAGUAGUCCCUGUCUCUUAUAC